rnacentral:rRNA from 1 species
CCAGACUCCUACGGGAGGCAGCAGUGGGGGAUAUUGGACAAUGGGGGGAACCCUGAUCCAGCGACGCCGCGUGAGUGAAGAAGUAUCUCGGUAUGUAAAGCUCUAUCAGCAGGGAAGAAAGAAAUGACGGUACCUGACUAAGAAGCCCCGGCUAACUACGUGCCAGCAGCCGCGGUAAUACGUAGGGGGCAAGCGUUAUCCGGAUUUACUGGGUGUAAAGGGAGCGUAGGCGGUUUAGCAAGUCAGAAGUGAAAGCCCGGGGCUCAACUCCGGGACUGCUCUGGAAACUGUUAAGCUGGAGUGCGGGAGGGGCAGGCGGAAUUCCUGGUGUAGCGGUGAAAUGCGUAGAUAUCAGGAGGAACACCGGCGGCGAAGGCGGCCUGCUGGACCGUGACUGACGUUGAGGCUCGAAAGCGUGGGGAGCAAACAGGAUUAGAUACCCCUGUA